CGAGGGGUAUUACACAAAGAACUGCUAAUUCCGCGCCCUGGGGAUUAACUCCCCAGACCCCUUA
rnacentral:tRNA from 1 species